rnacentral:lncRNA from 1 species
AAAACUCUUGAAAAAUAUAAAGGAGGCCCUACAACACGCCACUGUGCCCUGGGCAGAUCACAGGGUUUUGCCUAACAUAAUAAAAUUACUUUUGAAAAAAUUGGGGAACUUCCACAGCCUUCCAUUUUGCCAGCUCUUCGUUAGGCGCGACUUGUCGUAUCCAGCUAGACACCCCCGCUUCGCGAUCUUCAUCAUUGAU